rnacentral:rRNA from 1 species
GAUGAACGCUGGCGGCGUGCCUAACACAUGCAAGUCGAGCGAUUCUCUUCGGAGAAGAGCGGCGGACGGGUGAGUAACGCGUGGGUAACCUGCCCUGUACACACGGAUAACAUACCGAAAGGUAUGCUAAUACGAGAUAAUAUGCUUUUAUCGCAUGGUAGAAGUAUCAAAGCUUUUGCGGUACAGGAUGGACCCGCGUCUGAUUAGCUAGUUGGUAAGGUAACGGCUUACCAAGGCGACGAUCAGUAGCCGACCUGAGAGGGUGAUCGGCCACAUUGGAACUGAGACACGGUCCAAACUCCUACGGGAGGCAGCAGUGGGGAAUAUUGCACAAUGGGCGAAAGCCUGAUGCAGCAACGCCGCGUGAGCGAUGAAGGCCUUCGGGUCGUAAAGCUCUGUCCUCAAGGAAGAUAAUGACGGUACUUGAGGAGGAAGCCCCGGCUAACUACGUGCCAGCAGCCGCGGUAAUACGUAGGGGGCUAGCGUUAUCCGGAAUUACUGGGCGUAAAGGGUGCGUAGGUGGUUUCUUAAGUCAGAGGUGAAAGGCUACGGCUCAACCGUAGUAAGCCUUUGAAACUGGGAAACUUGAGUGCAGGAGAGGAGAGUGGAAUUCCUAGUGUAGCGGUGAAAUGCGUAGAUAUUAGGAGGAACACCAGUUGCGAAGGCGGCUCUCUGGACUGUAACUGACACUGAGGCACGAAAGCGUGGGGAGCAAACAGGAUUAGAUACCCUGGUAGUCCACGCCGUAAACGAUGAGUACUAGCUGUCGGAGGUUACCCCCUUCGGUGGCGCAGCUAACGCAUUAAGUACUCCGCCUGGGAAGUACGCUCGCAAGAGUGAAGCUCGAAGGAAUUGACGGGGACCCGCACAAGUAGCGGAGCAUGUGGUUUAAUUCUAAGCAACGCGAAGAACCUUACCUAAGCUUGACAUCCUUUUGACCGAUGCCUAAUCGCAUCUUUCCCCUUUGGGGACAGAAGUGACAGGUGGUGCAUGGUUGUCGUCAGCUCGUGUCGUGAGAUGUUGGGUUAAGUCCCGCAACGAGCGCAACCCUUGCCUUUAGUUGCCAGCAUUAAGUUGGGCACUCUAGAGGGACUGCCAGGGAUAACCUGGAGGAAGGUGGGGAUGACGUCAAAUCAUCAUGCCCCUUAUGCUUAGGGCUACACACGUGCUACAAUGGGUGGUACAGAGGGCAGCCAAGUCGUGAGGCGGAGCUAAUCCCUUAAAGCCAUUCUCAGUUCGGAUUGUAGGCUGAAACUCGCCUACAUGAAGCUGGAGUUACUAGUAAUCGCAGAUCAGAAUGCUGCGGUGAAUGCGUUCCCGGGUCU